rnacentral:rRNA from 1 species
UGCCAGCCGCCGCGGUAAUACGAAGGGGGCUAGCGUUGUUCGGAAUUAUUGGGCGUAAAGCGCGUGUAGGCGGUUCGUUAAGUCUGAUGUGAAAGCCCGGGGCUCAACCCCGGAAGUGCAUUGGAAACUGGCGAACUUGAGUACGGGAGAGGAAAGUGGAAUUUCCUGUGUAGCGGUGAAAUGCGUAGAUAUAGGAAGGAACAUCAGUGGCGAAGGCGACUUGCUGGACUGAUACUGACGCUGAGGAGCGAAAGCGUGGGGAGCGAACGGGAUUAGAUA